CGGUUCUAGCGGCGGACGGGUUAGUAACGCGUGGGAACGUACCCUUUUCUACGGAAUAGCCUCGGGAAACUGAGAGUAAUACCGUAUACGCCCUUUGGGGGAAAGAUUUAUCGGAGAAGGAUCGGCCCGCGUUAGAUUAGAUAGUUGGUGGGGUAAUGGCCUACCAAGUCUACGAUCUAUAGCUGGUUUGAGAGGAUGAUCAGCAACACUGGGACUGAGACACGGCCCAGACUCCUACGGGAGGCAGCAGUGGGGAAUCUUAGACAAUGGGCGCAAGCCUGAUCUAGCCAUGCCGCGUGAGUGAAGAAGGCCUUAGGGUCGUAAAGCUCUUUCGCCUGUGAAGAUAAUGACUGUAGCAGGUAAAGAAACCCCGGCUAACUCCGUGCCAGCAGCCGCGGUAAUACGGAGGGGGUUAGCGUUGUUCGGAAUUACUGGGCGUAAAGCGCGCGUAGGCGGACAUUUAAGUCAGAGGUGAAAUCCCAGGGCUCAACCCUGGAACUGCCUUUGGUACUGGGUGUCUUGAGUUCGAGAGAGGUGAGUGGAAUUCCGAGUGUAGAGGUGAAAUUCGUAGAUAUUCGGAGGAACACCAGUGGCGAAGGCGGCUCACUGGCUCGAUACUGACGCUGAGGUGCGAAAGUGUGGGGAGCAAACAGGAUUAGAUACCCUGGUAGUCCACACCG
rnacentral:rRNA from 1 species